AAAUUGAAGAGUUUGAUCAUGGCUCAGAUUGAACGCUGGCGGCAGGCCUAACACAUGCAAGUCGAACGGUAACAGGAAACAGCUUGCUGUUUCGCUGACGAGUGGCGGACGGGUGAGUAAUGUCUGGGAAACUGCCUGAUGGAGGGGGAUAACUACUGGAAACGGUAGCUAAUACCGCAUAACGUCGCAAGACCAAAGAGGGGGACCUUAGGGCCUCUUGCCAUCGGAUGUGCCCAGAUGGGAUUAGCUAGUAGGUGGGGUAAUGGCUCACCUAGGCGACGAUCCCUAGCUGGUCUGAGAGGAUGACCAGCCACACUGGAACUGAGACACGGUCCAGACUCCUACGGGAGGCAGCAGUGGGGAAUAUUGCA
rnacentral:rRNA from 1 species